AUUGGGACCAGUCUGUACAAUGAAAGGUGUCUGGUGAUUGUAGGGUAAUGAAUCUGGUGGUGUGGGAUCCAAGGCUUCUCUGUCUCCUUCCUGAAGACUGCAGCGAAAAGAGAGCAUGACCUGGAUGGUGGGGGUCCUUGAUGAUGGAUGCUGCUUUCUUGUGGCAGCUCUCCUUGCAGGUAGAGAUCCACUGAGCACACAGCUCCGCACCAAGGAAUUAUUCACCAGGGGCUGCUGAUGGAUAUAAACCAAAGUACUCUCAAAUAAU